GACGAACGCUGGCGGCGUGCUUAACACAUGCAAGUCGAACGGAAAGGCCCUGCUUUUGUGGGGUGCUCGAGUGGCGAACGGGUGAGUAACACGUGAGUAACCUGCCCUUGACUUUGGGAUAACUUCAGGAAACUGGGGCUACUACCGGCUAGGAGCUCCUGCUGCAUGGUGGGGGUUGGAAAGUUUCGGCGGUUGGGGAUGGACUCGGGGCUUAUCAGCUUGUUGGUGGGGUAGUGGCUUACCAAGGCUUUGACGGGUAGCCGGCCUGAGAGGGGGACCGGGGACCAUGCGACUGAGAUACGGCCCAGACGCCUACGGGAGGCAGCGGUGGAGAGUAUUGCACAAUGGGCGGAAGCCUGAUGCAGCAACGCCGCGUGCGGGAUGACGGCCUUCGGGUUGUAAACCGCUGUCGCCUGUGACGAAGCGUGAGUGACGGUAAUGGGUAAAGAAGCACCGGCUAACUACGUG
rnacentral:rRNA from 1 species